rnacentral:lncRNA from 12 species
CCCUGAGCUGGGCCCUUGCGACCCACGGAGCAGGGAUCGCACUUCAGAAAUGUCACCCCUGCCUCCCUACAGGUGGAGGAGCCCCGGGGGACCAUCCCACGCCACACACAGCGACUCGGGGCCUGACCGUUUAGGAGACCCACCGUGUUUUACUUCUGCCGAUGUCGUCCUCCGGGAGCCGUAGCCCCACAGCCAGUGCCGGGGACAGGGGCCGGGCUCGGCCCGCAGGACGUCAGGCCCGCAGAUUAAAAAGAACCAAAAGCCUUCCCUGGGCGUCCUCGGCCAUCUCUAGGUGGCUAAUCAUUUAGAAAACAUGUCAAAGAGGAAUAUAUGUUAAGAAAGAGAGACGGAUGGAUAAAACCACCAGCGUCAGGAAAGUCAUCAUGAAUAUACAAUCCUUGAUUUGGUUUACUGCUCAACCGAGCGAGGAGAAGGAACAGCUGUUUACCAUCUUCCUGAGAGUAGAAUUGAACACACCGAACCAAGAGGCACCAAAUCACCCUCAGGCGUCCCUCACUGAGGCAAAGGGGCCCUGAUAGGUCCGUGGUCCUCGCAGGGGUCCUCUGACCACCGGCACCAGCGUCUCCUGGAACCUGACAGAAGUGCAGAUUCUCGGCCCCACCCCACACCUGCCUACUCAGAACCUCGGGGGGUGAGUCCACCAGCAAUUGGUGUUUUAACAAAACUUCCAGGGGAUUGUCACGCUC